rnacentral:misc_RNA from 1 species
AGUCUCUCGAGUCCGAGUCUCUUUUGACUCGGGGUUUCGGAUUUGGACGUUUGCCGUCGUGAGACGGCUCGUCUCGAAAUGUAUCGGCCGUUCCCAUUUCCACAGACAACGGUGUGAUAAAUGAAACUCGCUCGCGUCUUGUGGUAACGGGGGACGGCUCACAGUCGUCCUUUUUGGACAAUACACACGUC